GCCCAGAGCCUGAAUCAGUAUGUGUGUUAGUGGAAGCGUCUGGAAAGGCGCGCGAUACAGGGUGACAGCCCCGUACACAAAAAUGCACAUGCUGUGAGCUCGAUGAGUAGGGCGGGACACGUGGUAUCCUGUCUGAAUAUGGGGGGACCAUCCUCCAAGGCUAAAUACUCCUGACUGACCGAUAGUGAACCAGUACCGUGAGGGAAAGGCGAAAAGAACCCCGGCGAGGGGAGUGAAAAAGAACCUGAAACCGUGUACGUACAAGCAGUGGGAGCACGCUUAGGCGUGUGACUGCGUACCUUUUGUAUAAUGGGUCAGCGACUUAUAUUCUGUAGCAAGGUUAACCGAAUAGGGGAGCCGAAGGGAAACCGAGUCUUAACUGGGCGUUAAGUUGCAGGGUAUAGACCCGAAACCCGGUGAUCUAGCCAUGGGCAGGUUGAAGGUUGGGUAACACUAACUGGAGGACCGAACCGACUAAUGUUGAAAAAUUAGCGGAUGACUUGUGGCUGGGGGUGAAAGGCCAAUCAAACCGGGAGAUAGCUGGUUCUCCCCGAAAGCUAUUUAGGUAGCGCCUCGUGAAUUCAUCUCCGGGGGUAGAGCACUGUUUCGGCAAGGGGGUCAUCCCGACUUACCAACCCGAUGCAAACUGCGAAUACCGGAGAAUGUUAUCACGGGAGACACACGGCGGGUGCUAACGUCCGUCGUGAAGAGGGAAACAACCCAGACCGCCAGCUAAGGUCCCAAAGUCAUGGUUAAGUGGGAAACGAUGUGGGAAGGCCCAGACAGCCAGGAUGUUGGCUUAGAAGCAGCCAUCAUUUAAAGAAAGCGUAAUAGCUCACUGGUCGAGUCGGCCUGCGCGGAAGAUGUAACGGGGCUAAACCAUGCACCGAAGCUGCGGCAGCGACGCUGAUGCGUUGUUGGGUA
rnacentral:rRNA from 1 species